rnacentral:rRNA from 1 species
CCUACGGGAGGCAGCAGUGGGGAAUAUUGGGCAAUGGGCGCAAGCCUGACCCAGCAACGCCGCGUGAAGGAAGAAGGCUUUCGGGUUGUAAACUUCUUUUCUGAGGGACGAAGAAAGUGACGGUACCUCAGGAAUAAGCCACGGCUAACUACGUGCCAGCAGCCGCGGUAAACGUAGGUGGCAAAGGUUAAUCGGGGUUAUUGGGGGGAAAGGGCGUGGAGGCGGGAAAGCAAGUCAGAUGUGAAAACUCAGGGCUCAACCCUGAGCCUGCAUUUGAAACUGUUUUUCUUGAGUGCUGGAGAGGCAAUCGGAAUUCCGUGUGUAGCGGUGAAAUGCGUAGAUAUACGGAGGAACACCAGUGGCGAAGGCGGAUUGCUGGACAGUAACUGACGCUGAGGCGCGAAAGCGUGGGGAGCAAACAGGAUUAGAUACCCCUGUAGUC